UGUGCCCGGCUGUGUGGUUCACCCCCAGUGCAGCCCUGCCUCCCAGGCACUAGAUGUCACUGGGACCUGCCCAGCCCUCACAGUGACCAUCCACCUGCGUGUGACCAGGCCGGCUCCGCUCCAUUCCCCAGGUUUCCACUGCAAGGGGAACUCUGUUCUUCUCAGCCCACCCUCGGGGACACUGCGUGAGGCCCAGCUGCAGACCCCAGAGAGGAGACCGGAUCAGCCUCCCGGAAGGCAGAGGAGCAGAGGGAACAGAGCUGGCUGAGAGCCCAGCCUUUCACAAGAGUCCCAGCCCAGUCACAGGGCCCCCAUCGCCUUCCCGUCCAACCCGGAGAUGUCGCCCACCUUGAGCAUCCUGGAAAGGGCUGUGGUGGUGGUCUCUGACAAGCCAUGAGGAAUCACUGGAGGGCGACCAGGCUCCUCAUGCGGCUGGGAAGUGGCAGCUCCAUCUUCAAAGUCCGGCCCGCCACUCCCCAGGAUCCCAGCACCGUCCUCAGCAAGCCCCGCAUGUCGGGUAGAAGGACAGAGGUCCUUAUUUGCUUCCUUCCUGAUGCGCCAUCAGCAGGAUGGCAGGUGACAGGCAGACCGGGCCGGAAGCUGAGGUGUGAUGGCUGGCGUGGCCACCUCAGCGUAACCCCUAAUUUCCAGGAGGCGCGGAGGAGCCCCAGGAGGAGGGAAUCAGGGAUCGAACUCAGGACCUUGCGCUUGCCAGGCAGGCGCAUCAUCACUGAACUAAAUCCCUGGCCCCUUUUGUAUCUUUCAUACUAAAACAGAGCAAUCCCUGGUAACCAAAAACAAACAAACACCCCCCCCAAAAUACAAAUAAUACCACACUUACCGUGCCCAGCCUCCCACCCAGGACUCAGAUGCUACGCCACAUGGGUUGGGUCACUGCCUAUCAGAUCAUUGGAGAGAGCUGGACUCCAGCAGGUGCGUUCCUGCUUAGAUCAGUCAUCAUGGGGACAACUCAUCAUUUGUGUCACCAGCCGCUGCCCCCCAGACAUCUAGGGGCUCCAGGAUGGGGGCUCAUGCUGUCUCCAACAUCUCGAGAGCACAGGUAUUUUCUCCAAAUGCCAGCCUUUUUCUGUUCCUCGGUUCCUCUCUGUUCUGUCCCUUCUCACCACGACCUGGAAAACAAACCCCCAGCCCAAGCCCUGAGAGUCUGGCUCAGCUGGGCCCUGGAAGCUGAAGCUAGAAAAGGGACUUGUCAGAAAUGUCAAGCACAAGCAGGAGACAGAAACCGAAAGAUUAAGGGCCGGGGAUUUAGCUCAGUGGUGCUGCC